CCCUGUAGCGCAAUGGAUAGCGCGUUGGACUUCUAAUCAGAAGGUCGUAGCUUCAAUUACCACCAGGAAGG